GGAAAGGUAGCUCAGUGGUAAAGUGUUUACUUAGCAUGUCCAAAGUCCUGGGUUUGAUCCCCAGCAUUACCU
rnacentral:tRNA from 1 species